rfam:Myotis davidii contig215648, whole genome shotgun sequence.
GGCAGUUCUUGGGUGAUGUACCCCAGAACCAGAGGAGGGAGCCUGAUUCUGGGGUGCAUCACCCAAGAACCACC